rnacentral:rRNA from 1 species
UAGUGGCGAACGGGUGAGUAACGCGUAGACAACCUACCUCAAAGAUGGGGACAACACUGCGAAAGUGGUGCUAAUACCGAAUGUGCUAAACGGGUCUCAUGGCUGGUUUAGGAAAGGUGGCCUCUGAACAUGCUACCGCUUUGAGAUGGGUCUGCGUCUGAUUAGCUAGUUGGUGGGUAACGGCCCACCAAGGCGACGAUCAGUAGCCGGUCUGAGAGGAUGAACGGCCACACUGGGACUGAGACACGGCCCAGACUCCUACG